AACAGGAUUAGAUACCCUGGUAGUCCACGCCGUAAACGAUGUCGACUUGGAGGUUGCUCCCUUGAGGAGUGGCUUCCGGAGCUAACGCGUUAAGUCGACCGCCUGGGGAGUACGGCCGCAAGGUUAAAACUCAAAUGAAUUGACGGGGGCCCGCACAAGCGGUGGAGCAUGUGGUUUAAUUCGAUGCAACGCGAAGAACCUUACCUACUCUUGACAUCCAGAGAACUUGGCAGAGAUGCCUUGGUGCCUUCGGGAACUCUGAGACAGGUGCUGCAUGGCUGUCGUCAGCUCGUGUUGUGAAAUGUUGGGUUAAGUCCCGCAACGAGCGCAACCCUUAUCCUUUGUUGCCAGCGAUUCGGUCGGGAACUCAAAGGAGACUGCCGGUGAUAAACCGGAGGAAGGUGGGGAUGACGUCAAGUCAUCAUGGCCCUUACGAGUAGGGCUACACACGUGCUACAAUGGCGCAUACAAAGAGAAGCGACCUCGCGAGAGCAAGCGGACCUCAUAAAGUGCGUCGUAGUCCGGAUCGGAGUCUGCAACUCGACUCCGUGAAGUCGGAAUCGCUAGUAAUCGUGGAUCAGAAUGCCACGGUGAAUACGUUCCCGGGCCUUGUACACACCGCCCGUCACACCAUGGGAGUGGGUUGCAAAAGAAGUAGGUAGCUUAACCUCCGGGAGGGCGCUUACCACUUUGUGAUUCAUGACUGGGGUGAAGUCGUAACAAGGUA
rnacentral:rRNA from 1 species